rnacentral:tRNA from 1 species
UCCCCGGUAGCUCAGUCGGUAGAGCGAUCGGCUGUUAACCGAUUGGUCGCUGGUUCGAGUCCGGCCCGGGGAG